UUAGAGUCUUAGUUCUAAAAACACGCUCGCCUAGCCUUUUCGGUUCUAUUCAUCCUCUUUAAUUUGUAGACCAUCUCAUUUUAUCUUCUUCAACAAUUCGUAUGAACAAAUCAAAUUUCGAAAAAAACCCUUGUCGGCCUUACCACCCAUGUCAAAGUCACCAAUUGCAUCAGCGUUGAUCUGAUGUGGAGAUCACCGGAGUUACAAUUUUUCUCGGCUGAUUAAAUCAAUCGAGGUGGUUGUUUUUCGAAGGAUCCUAAUGUAAUAAUAAUCGGCGUUGAUCUGAUAAUCACCAAAGCUACUCCUUCCAUGCAUGAUUUCAAUCAUAAUUGCUAUUUGUAAUUUGAUUAAUUUUGAAUUGGAUUGAAUUCAACAAAAGUACUUUCCAUCGAGGUUCAAGGUGAGGCAGAAUAUCUUCCAUCUCAACAAGGUCAAGGGUCAAAUAAAAUUUCAAAUUUUACAGAAACCAAAAAUCAAUGGGCUUGUGAUGAUCCUUCUCCUCUUGUUAUCUACAACCUUCUGUUAUAGUAGCUUCGAUUAUGGCCUAUUGAGCAGCGGUGUAAAGUACAUGGAAGUGAAAUAUAUAUUGAAGACAAAGACAAAGAGUUGCUCUAUUCUUUGGACGUUACAACCCCUUCCUCUUGUACUGUAAUAGAUACAAACAAUUAGUAGUACUAAUAAUGUACUAAAUUGUGAAUCCAUUUAGGAUCUUAAGGGUAUAGACUAUAGAUACAUGAUGUAGUGAUAUUUCAUUAUAUAAUGUUUAUGGGAUUUAGAUGAGUUUACAUGUGCUAUGUUAUAAAAUUAAAUUACAUCUAUAUUGAUGUUCGGCUUAC